rnacentral:rRNA from 1 species
AACGAACGCUGGCGGCAGGCCUAACACAUGCAAGUCGAGCGAGGACUUCGGUCCUAGCGGCGGACGGGUGAGUAACGCGUGGGAACGUGCCCUUUGCUUCGGAAUAGCCCUGGGAAACUGGGAGUAAUACCGGAUGAGCCCUUUGGGGGAAAGAUUUAUCGGCGAAGGAUCGGCCCGCGUUGGAUUAGGUAGUUGGUGGGGUAAUGGCCUACCAGGCCGACGAUCCAUAGCUGGUUUGAGAGGAUGAUCAGCCACACUGGGACUGAGACACGGCCCAGACUCCUACGGGAAGCAGCAGUGGGGAAUCUUAGACAAUGGGGGAAACCCUGAUCUAGCCAUGCCGCGUGAGCGAUGAAGGCCUUAGGGUUGUAAAGCUCUUUCAGCUGGGAAGAUAAUGACGGUACCAGCAGAAGAAGCCCCGGCUAACUCCGUG